CCGUAGCUCAAUGGAUAGAGCACUUGACUACGGAUCAAGAGGUUAGGGGUUCGAGUCCCUUCGGGC
rnacentral:tRNA from 1 species